GGCCGGCCAGGUAAACCCCGCCCGGAGCAAGACCAAAUAGGAGGACGUUUAACGGCGGCUCGCCCAGUCCUCGGGUAUCGGUCGCUAGAGGCGCCGGGCAACCGGCGUCCCAGACAGAUGGUCACCGUCCCGCAAGGGAUACAGAACCCGGCUUACAGUCCGCCCUCGGCC
rnacentral:RNase_P_RNA from 1 species